ensembl:lincRNA
GCCUUGUAAACAACAAUCAAUUUCAUGUAGGUGUCCACACAAAGUGGUUGUGAGUCAUGGUUAAGUGAUUGUGACAUGUCUGAAAGGCAAACUUAUGUCACAGGAAAGAAGAGCUCUCUGGAUAGAUGGUUCCCUACAGUUUUGUAAAGACAUCUGGAAACUUUGAUCUGGGAGACACCACAUCACAGAGAAAUUGUUAUCGUCUGAGAGCACACUGAGGCUUUGCUCUUCAGAGAUCUUCAAAUUUUACAUAGGUCAAUCCAAACACCUUCAGAAGUCAAGACAUUGACAUGAAAGUGCUCAACAGCCAGAUGUCAUUCAAUAAAGAGGGGUGUAAAUGAAGUAACAGGAAGAGCACAUAUUUGGCCUGAAGAUACAAAUCCAAAAAAUUUUUAAAAAAUGACUCUACGAGCCGGGCACGGUGGCUCACGCCUAUAAUCCUAGCACUUUGGGAGGCUGAGGUGGGUGGAUCACGAGGUCAGGAAUUCAAGACCAUCCUGACCAGCAUGGUGAAACCCUGUCUCUACUAAAAAUACAAAAAUUAGCUGGGCGUGGUGGCGUGUACCUGUAAUUCCAGCUACUCAGGAGGCUGAGGUAGGAGAAUCCCUUGAACCUGGGAGGUAGAGGUUGCAGUGAGUGGAGAUCAAGCCACUGCACUCCAGCCUGGGCAACAGAACAAGACUCCUUCACAAACAAACAAACAAACAAACAAACAAACAAACAAACAGAUUAUAUGGAUAUACCUCCUCAAACUUAGCUGUGUUGACUGAGUGAAUUUGGC